rnacentral:tRNA from 1 species
UAUUAUAUAGCUUAUUAAUAAAGCAAUUUACUGAAGAUAAAAAGAACUAACAUCUUUAUCAUGA